rnacentral:snRNA from 1 species
GAAAAGGACUUUGAAAAGAGAGU